GUCAACGUAGCUUAAAACAAAGCAUGGUAUUGAAGAUACCAAGAUUAAACCUUAAAAGGUUUCGAUGGCA
rnacentral:tRNA from 1 species